UACAGAGGAGCCAAGCGUUGUCCGGAUUGACGUGGGCGUAAAGCGCACGCAGGCGGGUGCGCGCGGUGGGGUGUGAAAUCUGGCCGCUUAAACGGCCAGGCCGCCAUCCCAUACGGCGCGCCUGGAGGCUGCAGAGGUCGAUGGAAUUGCCGGUGUAGUGGUGAAAUGCGUAGAGAUCGGCAGGAACACCCAGGGGGAAACAGUCGACUGGGCAGCACCUGAC
rnacentral:rRNA from 1 species